GUGGGUGCGUGCCUGCCAAUCGGAAGGUUGGUGUUUCGAUCCAUGGCCCUGCAGUCCCUUGUUGAAGUGUCCUUGGGCAAGACACUGAACCCCGAAUUGCCCCCGAUGCUGUGCCUUUGGAGUGUAAAUGCAUGUGAGUGUUCA